UGGCCAGAAAAUUACCUACCUCUUUGCUCUCUCUCAGGUGAGACCAUGGCCAGAAAAUUACCUACCUCUUUGCUCUCUCUCAGGUGAGUCCAAGGCCAGUAUAUUACCUCACUUUUCUCGCUCAUCUGACCAUGGCCAGAAAAUUACCUACCUCUUUGCUCUCUCUCAGGUGAGUCCACGGCCAGUAAAUUACCUACCUCUUUGCUCUAUCUCAGUGCCAACAAUCUCCAAAGACUCAGACUCGUCCCACUACCAAGCAAGCUUUUCGCCAGGAACAUCAGUGCAAAGGGAUUGCAUCAACACUGCCGGAGUAACAUAACCUUGGAUGACUUGGACUACUUGUGGCAUAAUAAAACAUUUAAAAACGAAUCACAAAUCUUUUGUGUAAAAAUCCUCAGUUGUGCACUGGGGCCUCCCACUCCUCUUUCUAUUCUGGUUAGAGCCAGUUUGCGCUGUUCUGUGACGGGA